rnacentral:rRNA from 1 species
UACAGGGGGGGCAAGCGUUGUUCGGAAUUACUGGGCGUAAAGGGCUCGUAGGUGGCCAACUAAGUCAGACGUGAAAUCCCUCAGCUUAACUGGGGAACUGCGUCUGAUACUGGAUGGCUUGAAUCCGGGAGAGGGAUGCGGAAUUCCAGGUGUAGCGGUGAAAUGCGUAGAUAUCUGGAGGAACACCGGUGGCGAAGGCGGCAUCCUGGACCGGCAUUGACGCUGAGGAGCGAAAGCCAGGGGAGCAAACGGG